AGUAGUUCUGGGCGCGAAGUGGCCUUCAACCCUGUGGUGGUCGGCUGAGCGGCUAUGGCUGAAACCGCGAGAAUCCCUCUUCCCAGGAAUAGCCAAGUGAAAAGUAUGAAUCGCUGACUUGAAAAGCCAUCUGUGUUUAUUCAGAUCCUUAAACCAGUGCCGCUCAAAGGAUGGUCUAUAACUGAGAUUAGUCCAUAAACUAUUUGUUUCUGGUCCAGAUGAGGUCCUCAGCCUUCUCUCCAUUCAGCUGGCAGAUAGAGUGAAGAUCAAGCCCGGUUGGGAGGACUUUAUGGGCCAAGCCUGGAAGUGGCCCCCAUGACUUCCGCUCACAUGUCAUUAUCCAGAACUCAGCCACAUGGCCUCACCUCAGUGCAAAGGAGGCUGGAAGAUGGGGCUAAUGGUCUUCCCAAGACCAGGGUGGAGAGGGUGGAUAUCUGUCUUUGGCACAUCUGGUGAGCUGCUGCCCCUUGGUCUGAUUUUUGUAUUCUACUCAUUCAGAAACCAUUUAUUCAGUACUACUGGGCAUCUAGUUCUUUUUGACUAAAAAUAUUAUUUUAGCCACUCAUAGCGAAUUAACAUACAAAUGUAAAACCAAAAUGGUUUGUUCAAAGUAGAGCAGCACUUCACACUGACAGUCUGAGUAUUUAGGAAAUGCUGCCUGAAACAAUAUGGUUGGACCUAGACAUGAUCACACUGAGUGAAGUAAGUCAGACUGAGAAAGUCAGAUAUUAUAUGAUAUCACUUAUAUGUGGAAUCGAAAAUGGGACACAGAAGGAGACUAUGAAACAGACUCACAGACAUGGAGAACAGGCUUGUAGUUGCCAAGGGGAACUUGGCAUUGGGAGUUUGGGAUUAGUAGAUGUAAACUAUGGGAACUUAGCAUUGGAUUGGGAGUUUGGAGUUAGCAGAUGCAAACUAUUAUAUAUAGAAUGGAUAAACAAUAAGCUCCUACUGUGCAGCAUAGGAAUAUAUUCAAUAUCCUGGGAUAAACCAUAAUGGAAAACAAUAUAAAAAAGAAUGUACAUAUAUAACUGAAUCACUUUGUUGUAUAGCAUAAAUUAACAAAACAUUGAAAUUGACUUUACAUCAAUAAAACUAAUAAGAAAAAAAGAACUGCCUGAUCAGAUUGAUCAUAGCCUAUGGUACGUAUGUGGGGAGAGUUUGGGAUUCUUCAGUUUAAUCCUAACUUGCCCCAAGCAAAUCAUCUUGGAAAGGGCACCUAUAUCUUCUGGACACUGUGCCUCUUGCCUGCACAGUCAGAAAUUGAACUGGACAGGUUUCGAAGCUCCCUUCUCAUCUUGAGUGUCUCAAAGUCUUGGUGACCAAUGAUGAGUUAUGUUAGAUUACAACCAAAUUCAUGUUCUUACUUAACUAUGAGGCUUUCAGUCCAAUGACACAACCACACAGCUUUAGAAAAUAAUUCUUAAUACUCUCCAACUGGAAUAAGAAUCUGAACAGCAUCCUCUCUGACAGCUUUCCAUCUUUGUGAUGCGUCCUCCUUUUUUUUUGCACAUGCCCCUGCCUGAUGACAUUUUGUAAGUCUAACACUCACAUUGGUCUUCACUCUCCAACUUUACACUAUUUGAUGAGGGAAGCAGCAGAUAAGGUGGAUUAUAGGGAAAGUCACUGGUCAUCCACAAAGUAGGAAACCCAAGCAACCACCACCAAGAAUUCAUGUAAGUGCAGUUUGCCAAGGACCGAUUUACUGCUCCUUUGUUAAUAAGAAGCUCGUUUUGAGGCCAACAAC
ensembl:lncRNA